UCACUGAUCUGAUCUGCUUCAACUUGCUGCUGAAGAUUGAUGGGGCUUGGGGCCCACAGCCCCUAUUACGGUGUCCUUCUCAGAGCCCCAACUCCCACUGGAGGUCUCAGUCUAAUGUGUGAGCAUUCACCAGUGAUAAAGUUGUCCUGGCUGAAACACCUGGCACCAGCUCCUGCAUGGGCAUCAACUGUCAUCCCAUCA
rnacentral:lncRNA from 1 species